UGCAUCAAACAGAAAGAGUAACCCUUGUUUCUCCAGCCUGCAGAAAGGAACCAUUAUAGCUGAACUGCUGUACUUUCUUUCUGCCCUGCUUUAUUAUUCUCCAUAGUACUUAUCACCUUGUAACAUCUGGAACACACCCUGGCAUAUGGUAGGCCCUCCAUUGAUGUUUAUUGGAUGUGAAUAAAUGAAUGUGUCAUCGAGAGGAUUCGUGAUGCCCCGCUCGUCAUGGAGAUGUUAGGACUCUAACAUCCAGUUUCAACUUUCCAACUGGCUUCUUGGAAACUCGUGGCUCCUUCUUAAAAACUGGAGGCAAGUAAGAUCCUAGCCAAAACCAGAGGCCCAAGAGUGAGACAGCCUGGAGAUGGGGCCUCCCUCUAUUGCCCAGGCUGAAGUGCAGUGGUACGACCAUGGCUCACUGUAACCUUGAACUCCUGGGCUCAAGUGAUCCUCUCGCCUCAGCCUCCAGAGUAGCUGAGACUGUAGGUAUGUGCCACCAUGCCUAGCUAUUAAAAAAAAAAGAAUUGUAGAGACGGGGGUCUCCCUGUGUUUCCCAGGUUGGUCUCAAACUCCUGGCCUCAAGUGAUCUUCUCACCUCGGCCUCCCAAAGUGUUGGGAUUACCGGCAUCAGCCAUCAUGCCCAGCCCACUUACUGUUUUAUCAAAUAAAACUGAAUGUUUUCAUGGCUUAACACAUCAG